rnacentral:rRNA from 1 species
UACAGAGGGUGCAAGCGUUAAUCGGAACUACUGGGCGUAAAGCGUGCGUAGACGGUUAUGUAAGUCAGGUGUGAAAGCCCCGGGCUCAACCUGGGAAUUGCAUUUGAGACUGCAUAGCUAGGGUGCGGAAGAGGGAAGCGGAAUUUCCGGUGUAGCGGUGAAAUGCGUAGAUAUCGGAAGGAACAUCAGUGGCGAAAGCGGCUUCCUGGUCCAGCACCGACGUUCAGGCACGAAAGCGUGGGGAGCAAACAGG